rnacentral:other from 1 species
GUCCGAAGCCCGUGGUCCCGGCAGGGGCCGGCACCGAAGAACACUUUCUUUCAGCUUAAUCUGUCGAGGUGUCUAAUGCGUAGCGGUACCGUGAAGUGGUUCAACGACGCCAAGGGCUUCGGGUUCAUCGCCCCCGAGGACGGCGGCGACGAUGUCUUCGUGCAUUACUCCGCCGUUCAGGGCGAAGGCUUCAAGUCCCUGGCCGAGGGCCAGAACGUCUCCUUCGAGAGCGAGACCGGCCCCAAGGGCCCCAAGGCCACUAACGUGGUCCCCGAAUAGGUUUCUACCGCAUUCGGAUGAAAAAGCCCCGCCGAUUCGGCGGGGCUUUUUUU